rnacentral:rRNA from 1 species
CAGCCUCCACGGUAAUACGUAGGGUGCGAGCGUUAAUCGGAAUUACUGGGCGUAAAGCGUGCGCAGGCGGUUCGUUAAGACAGAUGUGAAAUCCCCGGGCUUAACCUGGGAACUGCAUUUGUGACUGGCAAGCUAGAGUAUGGCAGAGGGGGGUGGAAUUCCGCGUGUAGCAGUGAAAUGCGUAGAUAUGCGGAGGAACACCGAUGGCGAAGGCAGCCCCCUGGGCCAAUACUGACGCUCAUGCACGAAAGCGUGGGGAGCAAACAGGAUUAGAUACCCGCGUAGUCCCUGUCUCUUAUAC